GUUGCACAGGGAGAGAGAGGAACAGAAGGUGCUGGGGGCUACCUGACUCUUCUUGUGUUUCUAAAACUUAAGUGAUACUUUGAAAAAUUGUUCUCCAUAAGUGUAGGCACUGAAUUUUCAUCCCAGUGAAGUGAUCAGAGGAGAUCAAGAGUGGCAGGAUGGACAGAAGUCAAUGGACAGAUGCACAGGCAAGGCACAGGAAGGGAGAUGUAUUUGCAAUAGCUUUCCUUCACUCAAAACCCUUUGUCAAAAGAAGAACAGCAAGCUGCAUCUUUAUAUAUGGAAGACAUUCUGUUAAAUUGGUGAGAUAUAAUUGUUUCAAUGGAAGCAAAAGUUGGCUACAUGAUUACAGUAUUAGGGAUCCGCAUGUGAAUACACAGAACAAAUGGCUCCCUAACUUAGCAGCCAAAGUGCCCAGAGCCUCAAGGACAGGCCUUUAUCAAUGACUGAGUGAGUGGCUAAUCUGAGCGGCAAAACAAGGAAAACUCAGGAUUAAAAUGUUGCAGACCUCAUUGCAGAGUUCCAAAGAAAGACUAAAAUAGCAGAAAGGUGGAGACUGUACUUGAGAACAGAGAGGGCGAAGAAAGGAAGCUCUCUACAGAGAUUGUUGGAGUGGCCAAAGACGGUGUCACAGUGGUAAAGGACAGUGUUAUCAUGGCAAAAUGAUGGUUGAAAAGGAGAGGGAGAUGCAAUUCCUGCAGGCAAGACAGAGCAAGAAUGCUCUGCUGCAGUGCAUGCUGCUAUUAGGGCAGCAGGCAAUGCAGUGCAGUAAACCAGACCCUGCCAUAUUCUGCAACUCCUGGGCAAUACAGAAUACUAGAAUCACCAGCAACUCCUCUCCCUGCAGCUGUGCUCCCAGAGGCCAUUCCCUUCACAAACCCAAACUCAGGGCCGCCAGAACAGCUAGAAGACCAGCUCUUUUGAGGUAUCUAAUGCCCUGGUAACUUUGAGCAUCACCGCACAACAUCAGAAGGUCCAGGAACAAGAAGAGGCAGGGGCAAGGUAUCUACUCAGCUAUGAGUUGAAUCCCCA